GUGGGGAAUAUUGGACAAUGGGGGGAACCCUGAUCCAGCCAUGCCGCGUGUGUGAAGAAGGCCUUUUGGUUGUAAAGCACUUUAAGCGAGGAGGAGGCUACCGAGAUUAAUACUCUUGGAUAGUGGACGUUACUCGCAGAAUAAGCACCGGCUAACUCUGUGCCAGCAGCCGCGGUAAUACAGAGGGUGCAAGCGUUAAUCGGAUUUACUGGGCGUAAAGCGCGCGUAGGUGGCCAAUUAAGUCAAAUGUGAAAUCCCCGAGCUUAACUUGGGAAUUGCAUUCGAUACUGGUUGGCUAGAGUAUGGGAGAGGAUGGUAGAAUUCCAGGUGUAGCGGUGAAAUGCGUAGAGAUCUGGAGGAAUACCGAUGGCGAAGGCAGCCAUCUGGGAUAACACUGACGCUCAUGCACGAAAGCGUGGGGAGCAAACAGGAUUAGAUACCCUGGUAGUCC
rnacentral:rRNA from 1 species